rnacentral:hammerhead_ribozyme from 1 species
AUGCAGCUGACGAGUUCCAAAUGGGAGGAAGUAACGCGCGUCGAACUGGAU